UGGCCAUCAAUUAUUUUUGCUACUAUCACCAUUUAUCGUUCAAUUAAUAAAAUUCAGAUACUGAAAACAUUGGAGAAAUUAUUCCAGAACAUUUUGGAAAAACAAACUAGUUUUAGACUGAAAUGAAUAAAUUCAAGCUAAGAAUUAUUUCCACAAUGCUUCUCCAAGGGUUACAGUCUCAAAAGUGAGCCAAAAGUUAAAUUGAGGUAUGAGCUCGGAUUGUUUCCUAUGUCAUCAAGUAGCAGAGGAAAAAGCAAAAAGCAAAAACCAAAAUCAAUAGCAAUGGGGUAGGCUCAGAUUCGCCUUUUCUCAGACAAAACCCAAAAAACUUUGGAAAAAACUGCCAUGGCUGCAAGCAUAAGUUAGUCUUAUGAGACAGGAAAAAACACCCAAAAAAUGGAUUUUCUCCAAUAUCUCAUAAACUCGCAAGGUAGGGUAAGGUCUGCGUAUAUGUUGUUGUUGUUGUUGUUGUUGUUGUAUCUCAUAGACAUAUCUGAGCUGCCAUGCCAAGAUACAGUUUUUCCAGCUCAAUAGAUUUAUAAGUCUGUCUUUUUCACAAACAACAAUCUUCAUAGCCUCUAAUAAAUUUGAACAGAGGUAGUAAUAAAUCAAUCAAUCUAGGGUGGUUUUGCAAUCGGAAAUUGUUUUCAUUUGAGUGACCAUUGGCGGCGGAGAAUGACAGAGAGGGGCAAAACCACCCAUUGAAACUCCCUACAGCUCUCUGCUUUCACCGCUGCCUCAGACUUAAACUAAUGAGAUUUUUGCUAUUUUCAUGUUAUCGCGGCUUCUUAUAUAUUGUGCCCUAAUCAGUUGGGCCUCAUUUCAAAAGCCCAUUCAGAAUCUAAAUCGAGUCGAACUGAAACCAAUAUUCGGAUCCACCGUUUCAAAUCAUUGGGAAAAAAACAGGAUUAGGGCUUCUGAGCAAAAAAACAUACAACUCGAUUUUGCCGGAAAAUGGAGUGAAAUUGAGGCUCAGAUCUGUGUUUAUGCUCAGGCAAAAAGAGAGUCCGGCGACGCCAUGGCUGCAAAAACCCACCGGGCAAUGCCCCGCCAAGAUACGGGUCGGAUUAUCUCAAAAUGCCCCGAUUAAUUAAUGAGCUCAGAAGGGAAUUAAAUUUUUUUUUUAAAAUCAUCAUCGCCUCUUUUACACCGUCGAUUAUACUCACCACCACCACUUCCACCGCCAGCACCGGCAGCAUUAAAUGCUCCGGCAGAAGCGUAAAAGAGAGAAAGAAAGAAAAAAGGCAUACUGCAUUGAAGAUUCAAACGAUACUAUUUGUGUAAAUCUCCUUAUGUAUCAACAGCGGCUCUAAAAUCGCAAUAAAAGGGCUGUUGGGAUAGUUUGAGAAAUCAUAGGCUAAUAAUGCAGAGAGAGACAACCGCCCUUUCAAUGAAAAAUCCUACAAUUCUCUGUAGCCUCAUUCUCUCCCUUCCAAGCUUUGUUACAUUUCUUUAGAACUUUUUGUUCGUUUUUUGGACUUUGGUAAUCUGGUUAUUUAUACUACCUAGUCAAUCGUAUUUUAAAAGGGGUUUUUUUAAACCCUAAACUUGAAACUGAAAUUUACCAUUAGAAAAGUGGAAACAAGAUGGAGAAUUCCAAGUAUAAUUUUCAAAAUCUUACCCAGAAAAAGAUUCGGCGGCUUCUUGAUCCUUGAAGAGAGAGACGUGUGAAGGAUGAAAUUUGUUUUGGGUUUAGAAGAAAUAGCCUGAUAUCAAGAGAGAGAAAAGGAGCACCGAAAAAAGAGGCGUGUAUUUUUAGUAUUUUUAACCUCUGAACGGAAUUAAGACUUCUUUAGGUCAAUCACAAAGUGUGCCAAAAAACCAAUAAAAACAAGCAAUCUCAAGAAAAACCAACAGCACAAACUCAAUAUACACAAUUAGUGUGUAUUCACAAAACAAGCAACAACUGCAAAAUUUGCUUAAAUUAUACAACGAGAUUACUUCCUAAUAAAUGUAUUGCCUUCCUUGUAAAGGUCUAUGAUUUUAGCUUUUAACUUGUAACACCAACUGCAGAGCUCCUGCAUAAAUAGAUGCAGUGGCAAUACAUUGUUUUUAAAGUUGAGUAAUCGAAUUACAGGAUAAUGCUAAUGAGAUCAUGGACUUCACCGAUAAGGAUUAGUUGGGAAAAAAUAUCUCAGCAACAAAGUAACCCAAAAUAGACAUUAGUAUUCAAAUGCCUAGAUUUCUAGACAAAAGGAAACACAUUUAGGCACAUCCAUGUCAAAGAAGCAGGAAUUCUGAUUCUUUUCAGAAUUCGAAAACAGAGAACAUAAGGGCUAAAGUAUCAGAAAGUACCUCUUUAGCAUAUAAAAACAGAGAACAUAAGGGCUAAAGUACCUCUUUAGCAUAUGAUGCCGAUGAUUCGACAAAGAAAAAUAUUAAGGCACACCCAUCUCAGAGCAAGAGCAUACCAAGUCAUUAGAUUUUAAAAAGAAGUGGGAAAUAGGAUUAAUAUCAAAAAGAACAUAUUUACCAACAAAGAAACUCAAAAAUAGAUUUUACUUGUUUGCAUUCUGAUUCUUAGAAUUAUAGUGAAAAGAAACCAUUUUUAGGCACACCCAUAUCAAAGAAGCAGUAUUAUCAUUCAACACAGAGAGUUCAUAAACAAUGAAAAAUAGGCUAGAGUAUCAAGAUGUACAUCUUUCGCAAUAAAGUUAAUUCUCAAAUAGAACUUAGCAUUCACAUUCCUAGAGCUUCAAAAGGAGAGAAUUUGUUGUUUGCUUUCUUAUUUGAUCUUUGGCCAUCAAUUAUUUUUGCUACCAUCACCAUUUAUCGUUCAAUUACUAAAAUUCAGAUACUGAAAACAUUGGAGAAAUUAUUCCAGAACAUUUUGGAAAAUCAAACUAGUUUUAGACUGAUAUGAAUACCUUCAAGCUAAGAAUUAUUUCCACAAUGCUUCUCCAAGAGUUACAGUCUCAAAAGUGAACCAAAAGUUAAAUUGAGGUAUGAGCUCGGAUUGUUUCCUAUGUCAUCAAGUAGCAGAGAAAAAAGCAAAAAGCAAAAACCAAAAUCAACAGCAAUGGGGUAGGCUCAGAUUCGCCUUUUCUCAGACAAAACCCAAAAAGCUUUGGAAAAAACUGCCAUGGCUGCAAGCAUAAGUUAGUCUUAUGAGACAGGAAAAAACACCCAAAAAAUGGAUUUUCUCCAAUAUCUCAUAGACUCACGAGGUAGGGUAAGCUCUGCCUAUAUUUUGUUGUUGUUGUUACAUCUCAUAGACAUAUCUGAGCUGCCAUGCCAUGAUACAAGUUUUACCAGCUCAAUAGAUUUAUAAGUCUGUCUUUUUCACAAACAACAAUCUUCAUAGCCUCUAAUAAAUUUGAACAGAGGGAGAAAUAAAUCAAUCAACCUAGGGUGGUUUUGCAAUCGGAAAAUUUUCAUUUGAGUGAUCAUCGGCACCGAAGAAUGACAGAGAGGGGCAAAACCACCCAUUGAAACUCCCUACAGCUCUCUGCUUUCACCGCUGCCUCAGACUUAAACUAAUGAGAUUUUUGCUAUUUUAUUGUUAUUGCCGCUUCUUAUAUAUUGUGCCCUAAUCAAUUGGGCCUUAUUUCAAAAGCUCAUUCCGAAUCUAAAUCGGGUCGAAC
rnacentral:lncRNA from 1 species